rnacentral:rRNA from 1 species
AAGACCUUGCACUUUUGGAGCGGCCGAUGUCUGAUUAGCUAGUUGGUGGGGUAAUGGCCUACCAAAGCUUCGAUCAGUAGCUGGUCUGAGAGGACGGCCAGCCACACUGGGACUGAGACACGGCCCAGACUCCUACGGGAGGCAGCAGUGGGGAAUUUUGGACAAUGGGCGCAGGCCUGAUCCAGCCAUGCCGCGUGAGUGAAGAAGGCCUUCGGGUUGUAAAGCUCUUUCAGCCGGGAAGAAAAGGUUGCGACUAAUAAUCGCAAUUCAUGACGGUACCGAAAGAAGAAGCACCGGCUAACUACGUGCCAGCAGCCGCGGUAAUACGUAGGGUGCGAGCGUUAAUCGGAAUUACUGGGCGUAAAGGGUGCGCAGGCGGUUUUGUAAGUCAGAUGUGAAAUCCCCGGGCUUAACCUGGGAACU